rnacentral:ncRNA from 1 species
AACGUGCUCCGGGGUCGGUGAGAAUCCGAACCGGCGGUGACAGUCCGCGAGAGUCUUGAUUCGUCGAGAUUCCGAUCCGGUGGAAUUCCGGUACCGACGGUGAUGCGAGAGAGAUCUCGCUAGUCCGGAAGGGAGGCAGCACGAU